rnacentral:rRNA from 1 species
CCCUUAGAUGUCCGGGGCCGCACGCACGCUACAAUGGAUGAAUCAACGCGUCAUCCUGGCCCGAAAGGGUUGGGGAACCGCUGAACCUCAUCCGUGGUUGGGAUUGGGGUUUGUAAUUAUUCCCCAUGAACUAGGAAUUCCCAGUAAGCGCGAGUCAUAAGCUCGCGUUGAUUACGUCCCUGCCCUUUGUACACACCGCCCGUCGCUACUACCGAUUGGAUGGUUUAGUGAGAUCCUCGGAUUGGUCACGGCACGGUGGCAACACUGCGUCGGUGUGCCGAGAAGACGAUCAAACUUGAUCAUCUAGAGGAAGUAAAAGUCGUAACA